UACGGGGGGGGCAAGCGUUGUUCGGAAUUACUGGGCGUAAAGGGCGCGUAGGCGGCCUUCUAAGUCAGACGUGAAAUCCCUCGGCUCAACCGAGGAACUGCGUCUGAUACUGGAAGGCUUGAAUCCGGGAGAGGGAUGUGGAAUUCCAGGUGUAGCGGUGGAAUGCGUAGAUAUCUGGAGGAACACCGGUGGCGAAGGCGGCAUCCUGGACCGGUAUUGACGCUGAGGCGCGAAAGCUAGGGGAGCAAACGGG
rnacentral:rRNA from 1 species